UGCCAGAGCUGUAUCUCCCUGCAGUUCUUGUCUGGUUUCCCACUGAAGCCAAGCAGGGGUGAAUCUGGUGAGUACCUGGAUGGGAGACUUCCUUGGGAAAACUAAGGCUGCUAU
rnacentral:rRNA from 1 species